UACAUACUUUUCCACUUGCCUGAAUGACUGUAGGUCCAACAACAAAAGCUUGGCACAAUACAGGACAAACCAGUCUGCUGAAUUACUAUCUUCUUCACUGCCUUAAAACAUUCAGUCUCUCCACCACCAGUGCACAAUUGCUGCAGUCUGUCUCUGUAAAGUGCACAGCAAAAACUCAUCAAGGCACCUUCCAAACAAGCAACAACUACCAUCUAGAAGGAUAAAGGGCAGCAGAUGGAUAGGAACACCAUUGCCUACCGCAACAUCCUGAUUGGAACUAUAUUGCCAUUCCUUCACAGUUGCUAGAACAAAAUCCUGCAAUUCAUUACCAGAACCAUAGGUGGACCUCUAACAAAUGGGUGGCAAAAGUUAAAGAAGGCAGCUCGAUAUCACUUUUUAUAGGGCAAGUAAGAUUAACCUUGCCAACAUUGCUCAUAUUCCAAGCACAAAUAAACAAAACUGUGGUCCUAAAGAUUACUUUAUGAGAAAAAUCCUAAGUGAACAGAGUGUAUUUGCAAGAGUGGGAUGUUGGAUGUGGGUAAAUGAUGUUCUGGCUGGUCAGCUGAAAAUUCUAAUGUAACUUAGAUUUUUCCUUUUAAUCUAUUAACUGUGAAACAAAAGCACUUAAAAUUAACCAGGAUUGUUACCAUGAAAUACAAUUAAAUACAAGUGGCUGCAUGCAGCUCACAAUGGGGAAGGUGACAGGUGCAUGCAGUGAGCAAUUACAUUCUUCAUGUUUUCCUCCCUCUGGGCUGAUUGCAUGUCGACUGAGUGAAAGAAUAUUUUAAGAACUGCUCAACAAGGUCAUUGCAACAACUAGGUGGUGACAACAAUUUAGAAGAGAAACAUUUGCAGCAGGGGUUCAGAACAUUAACAACAAGCACCUCUUCCUGAAAGGGCCUGAAAAAUGAAGUAAUUCCAACAUAAUGGUACUUGGAACACUUAAAACGCUCAAUGACGGACAUAUAUCUCACACACUGCCAGACCAAUAGUCAUUUCAGAACACAAGAAAAAGUUGAGCUCUAAUAGAAUCUCCUCCUUGAGACAAGGCAAUCUAAAGAAAUUAUACUGGAUUAUUGAUCAACUCUUUCCAAGGUCUCAAUUACUAUUCAACAACUACCA